CCCUUAGAUGUCCUGGGCCGCACGCGCGCUACACUGAUUCAUGCAACAAGUUUUGUCCUUGGCUGAUAGGCCUGGGUAAUCUUUGAACGUGAAUCGUGAUGGGGAUAGAUGAUUGCAAUUAUUCAUCUUCAACGAGGAAUUCCUAGUAAACGCAAGUCAUCAGCUUGCAUUGAUUACGUCCCUGCCCUUUGUACACACCGCCCGUCGCACCUACCGAUUGAAUGGUCCGGUGAAAUCUUCGGAUCUGAGAGAUGUCUGAUUAAUUUCGGACGCCUUUUGGAAAAGUUGCUUAAACCUUACCAUUUAGAGGAAGGUGAAGUCGUANCA
rnacentral:rRNA from 1 species